rnacentral:rRNA from 1 species
ACGAACGCUGGCGGCGUGCCUAAUACAUGCAAGUUGAGCGCUGAAGGUUGGUACUUGUACCGACUGGAUGAGCAGCGAACGGGUGAGUAACGCGUGGGGAAUCUGCCUUUGAGCGGGGGACAACAUUUGGAAACGAAUGCUAAUACCGCAUAAAAACUUUAAACACAAGUUUUAAGUUUGAAAGAUGCAAUUGCAUCACUCAAAGAUGAUCCCGCGUUGUAUUAGCUAGUUGGUGAGGUAAAGGCUCACCAAGGCGAUGAUACAUAGCCGACCUGAGAGGGUGAUCGGCCACAUUGGGACUGAGACACGGCCCAAACUCCUACGGGAGGCAGCAGUAGGGAAUCUUCGGCAAUGGACGAAAGUCUGACCGAGCAACGCCGCGUGAGUGAAGAAGGGUGUCGGAUCGUAAAACUCUGUUGGUAGAGAAGAACGUUGGUGAGAGUGGAAAGCUCAUCAAGUGACGGUAACUACCCAGAAAGGGACGGCUAACUACGUG